GAUGAAGAACGUAGCGAAAUGCGAUAAGUAAUGUGAAUUGCAGAAUUCCGUGAAUCAUCGAAUCUUUGAACGCACAUUGCGCCCUCUGGUAUUCCGGGGGGCAUGCCUGUCCGAGCGUCAUUUGCAACCCUCAAGCCCGGCUUGUGUGAUGGGUGCCGUCCCCUACGGGACGCGCCCCGAAGGCAAUGGCGGCGUCGCGGUUAUCCGAUCAGCCAAAGUGUAUGGGGCUUUGUCACUCACUUUACGGCCCGGACCGGCGCCAGUCCGAAUCAAUCUUUUUUCUAAAGUUGACCUCGGAUCAGGUAGGGAUACCCGCUGAACUUAAGCAUAUCAAAGCGGAGGA
rnacentral:misc_RNA from 1 species